GUCCUAAGAUGAGCUCAACAAGAACAGAAAUCUUGUGUAGAAUAGAAAGGUAAAAGCUUGUUUGAUUUUAAUUUCUAGUACGAAUACGAACCGUGAAAGCAUGGCCUAACGAUCCUUUAGACCUUCGGAAUUUAAAGCUGGAGGUGUUAGAAAAGUUACCACAGGGAUAACUAGCUUGUGGCAACCUAGCAUUCAUAGCAACGUUGCUUUUUGAUCCUUCGAUGUCGGCUCUUCCUAUCAUUGUGAAGCAGAAUUCACCAAGUGUUUGAUUGUUCACCCACCAAUAGGGAACGUGAGGUGGGUUUAGACUGUUAUGAGACAAGUUAGUUUUACCCUACUGAUGACAAUACCGUAACAGUAAUUCAACCUAGUAUGAGAGGAACCGUUGAUUCGCACAAUUGGUCAUCACGCUUGGUUAAAAAGCCAGUGGCGCGAAGCUACCAUGCACUGGAUUAUGACUGAACACCUCUAAGUCAGGAUCCGGGCUAAAAGCGAUGCAUGCACCAGUCGCCCGCUUGCCGACCCGCAGUAGAGGCCGUCCGGCCUCCAAAGGCAAGUGUCGUUGGUGAAGCCCGCGUGGCGGAUGAGCCGUGCGGCCACCUUGAAGUACAAUUCCUAUCUCAAGCAGUGGGUAGAAUCCCUUGCAGACGACUUAAAUACAUGACGGGAUAUUGUUAGUGGCAAAGUGGCCUUGCUGCCACGAUCCACUGAGAU
rnacentral:rRNA from 1 species